rnacentral:rRNA from 1 species
GACGAACGCUGGCGGCGUGCUUAACACAUGCAAGUCGAACGGGGUGUUUAUUUCGGUAAACACCAAGUGGCGAACGGGUGAGUAACGCGUAAGCAAUCUACCUUCAAGAUGGGGGACAACACUUCGAAAGGGGUGCUAAUACCGAAUGAAUGUAAGAGUAUCGCAUGAGACACUUACUAAAGGAGGCCUCUGAAAAUGCUUCCGCUUGAAGAUGAGCUUGCGUCUGAUUAGCUAGUUGGUGAGGGUAAAGGCCCACCAAGGCGACGAUCAGUAGCCGGUCUGAGAGGAUGAACGGCCACAUUGGGACUGAGACACGGCCCCAGACUCCUACGGGAGGCAGCAGUGGGGAAUCUUCCGCAAUGGGCGAAAGCCUGACGGAGCAACGCCGCGUGAACGAUGAAGGUCUUAGGAUCG